rnacentral:lncRNA from 1 species
CAUUUUUACAUAAUAUAUAAAGUAAUAUUUUUAUUUAAAUUAAAAUAAAAUGUUAAUUUGUUAUUCAAACUUCUUACCACAUUUUUUUACAUCCUUCAAAAAGUUGUGUCAUGUCCAUGAACAGAUAAUAUUUGUGGUGUUGUAUUUCGGUGUGAUAUAGUAAUCUUCACUGAGUGAGGAAGAAUACGAUGAGGACGAACUCACAGAACUUAGGGAGCCACUUUUCAGUUUCCAAUGAGGGCAAAUUCAGAGAAAACGUCUUUAAACGGUCAAACGACAGAGCUGGAUAGAGUAUAAGAAAGAAUGUCUACGAAUAAGGAUUUUCAAAAUAAAAAUGAUGAAAAGCACCAGAAUAAAGUGAAUAAUAAAUAUUGCCUAGAGGUUAGAAUUUUCACCAAUGUGUAUUUUCAAUACACGUAACAGUGGUUGGUUGAAAAUGGUGGAGUGUUUUAAAAUGAGAAGCCAAAGCAUUUAAGCAUGAAUAUAGUGGACUUACAGCCACAGGUGGUCACUGAGAGCUGAAGAACCCGUUUGAGGAAAUGCUAAUAUAGCAGCACCUCCCUCCUCUUUUCCUUACUGUCACACCCCCUUUUCUUGCCAAAAUUCAUCACUGAAUAUUUUCUAUCCUGUUUAAAUGAUGUCAGUGAGACCUUAAAAUAUACGUAUAUUUGGAGAAACUUUCUGCAUUCUCCAUGUUGCUUUGUGUAGGAUAGCCUAUUCAUCUCUCUGACACAAAGCUGUGACUAAGUUGCCGCUGGAUUUAUGGUCCUUGGUCCAUAAGAUAAUGAUGCAACUAGUGCUCGUCUACAUUCAUGCAUUGAAUUCAUCUGCAAAGACAGUUAUGAGGAGCUAGAUGUAUAUUAACUCUAUAGAAAAGGAAUUUCUGCAAAUAGCAUGAAAUGAUUCCUCUGUCAAAGAAUUAGAGCCCAAUUUCCCGGUGGCCAGUACAUAAACCCCACCAGGUCAGGGAGCUUCCUCUGCUGGGUUCGCUGAUGUAACCACACGCCUACUGAGUGUCUGAUGUGAAGCAGGUCAUCAAUAAAUAUUUCGAAUGAACUGAGCA